UACGUAGGGGGCUAGCGUUGUCCGGAUUUAUUGGGCGUAAAGAGCGUGUAGGCGGCCAGGUAGGUCUGCUGUGAAAACUCGAGGCUCAACCUCGAGACGUCGGCGGAAACCAUCUGGCUAGAGUCCGGAAGAGGAGAGUGGAAUUCCUGGUGUAGCGGUGAAAUGCGCAGAUAUCAGGAAGAACACCUGUGGCGAAGGCGGCCCCCUGGGCCGGCCCUGACACUGAGACGCGAAGGCGUGGGGAGCGAACGGG
rnacentral:rRNA from 1 species